AUUGAACGCUGGCGGCAGGCUUAACACAUGCAAGUCGAGCGGGGGAAGGUAGCUUGCUACCGGACCUAGCGGCGGACGGGUGAGUAAUGCUUAGGAAUCUGCCUAUUAGUGGGGGACAACAUCUCGAAAGGGAUGCUAAUACCGCAUACGUCCUACGGGAGAAAGCAGGGGAUCUUCGGACCUUGCGCUAAUAGACGAGCCUAAGUCGGAUUAGCUAGUUGGUGGGGUAAAGGCCCACCAAGGCGACGAUCUGUAGCGGGUCUGAGAGGAUGAUCCGCCACACUGAGACUGAGACACGGCCCAGACUCCUACGGGAGGCAGCAGUGGGGAAUAUUGGACAAUGGGGGGAACCCUGAUCCAGCCAUGCCGCGUGUGUGAAGAAGGCCUUAUGGUUGUAAAGCACUUUAAGCGAGGAGGAGGCUACUCUAGUUAAUACCUAGGGAUAGUGGACGUUACUCGCAGAAUAAGCACCGGCUAACUCUGUGCCAGCCGCCGCAGUAA
rnacentral:rRNA from 1 species